AAGCAAUCAGAAUGCAGAUCUGUGGGCCCCCUCCCAGUGGACACAUCUACAAAACACCCUGUAUCUAAGACUCGGGGACACCGGGGAAGAGGGCAGAGAGACUGUCAGAGCCAGAGGACCAGAGAGCUUGCAGUGACACUGGGCCUCAGCUGGUCAAACACUACAACCGUGACGUCUCGCCAGCACGACCGCGUCGACAGAGCUGAACAAAGACAGCGGGUGGAGGGAAAGCCCAGGAGGCCUCAGCCUUACACAGAGAUCUACAGGCAAUAAAAGGACUGAAUGGAUUGGGGAUCGCCCUUCUGUUUGCACGUGGACAGAGGCCUUCACAAUUUAACUCCCACAUGACUUCCUCAUGCCUGGCACACUCACGCCCCAGGACCUUUGCACUGCUCGCUCUCCGCCUGGAUGCCCUUUCCCCAUCGGUUCUCGUCUCGAGGACUUCGUCCAAAUCAUCUCAGCAGGGCCUUCCUAUCGGCACCGCAGCCUGACUCUACCCAGUCACCCUGUUCUGUACGGCUUUAGCUUUCUCCAAAUCGCUUACAUAUGUUUGUAGCAGGUAAAUGAUAGUGGCCCCAAAAGCUGUCCCCAUGUUUACUCCUGCAAACUUUGCAAACGGCACUGUAGUGCAGCAGUUCUCAACGUGUGGGCCAUGACCCCUUUGAGGGGUGGGCAACACUUUCACAGGGGCCGCC